rnacentral:tRNA from 1 species
GCCGAAGUGGCGGAAUGGUAGACGCGCACGCUUCAGGAGCGUGUUCCCUCACGGGAGUGGAGGUUCAACUCCUCUCUUCGGCA